AGGAGGGAGAAUUUGGGGUUCAGACAGCAUUUCUGAGCCCCUGGUGCCGUACUUGUGCUGAUAUCAUGAUACCAGUAUACAUAUUUCAGGAAAUUCUCAUUGUUCUUUUUCCCUUUUUACAGAAAAGUACAUUGAAUUUCAGAGAGAUGGAACAUCCUAACGUUAAAGCCAUCAUCCUUAUGAAGACGAGUGGUCCUCAAAGAAGGAUGGAAAAAAGGCAUCUCAGAAAGAGGAAGCUGACUUCCCAAGGUCACACUGAAAAGUAUGGCAGAGAUGGGACUAUGGGCACUCAGGCCACCUGGGCAUCUGACCUCCACCUCCAUCAGUUCCCAUGCUCCCGCCAGCUGCGCCCUGCCGCCCACAAAGUACUUGAGCAUUGCUCCAAGUGACACAUCGACUUUCAAGUCACCCCCCACCCAACUCUGCAACAGCAGGGUCAAAGGCCAGGGCACCUGCCAGCCAGACACAUCUCAGGUGGCAGAGAAGGGAUUGUGGAGAAGAGGAAAUAGGAAAAAGAGGCAGUGUCCUUUCUGUGGUCCUGGAGUCUAGCCUGCCCCACUGUUUGUAGCUAGAACUUCCUGCAACCAAAGAUUUCUCUUCCCACACUGAUAGGGUGUCAUGCAGCAAGAUGGGAGAUGUUGGGAUACUAGGAUGGGUUAAAGGAAUUAAAGGAAUCAAUCACC